AGCUAAGUGGCGCAGCGGAAGCGCGCCGGGCUCAUACCUAUGUAACCCGGAGGACCACCGAUCGAAACGGUGCUUAGCUA